rnacentral:rRNA from 1 species
AUGACUGACCAAAUUGCCAAUAGUGCAGCCGGCGGCAAUGGGCCUGAGCCUGAGCAGUAUGAUCCAUCCAAGGAUCCUAAGCGGAAGGCAAAGUCGGGAGACCCUGGGUGGAAGUAUGGGUAUUGGCAUGACAUGAACAGGAGGGAUAAGAUACGAUGCACAUUUUGCGGGACAGAUGUGCAUGCUGGAAUAGCAAGGUUCAAGCGUCACCUAGCUGGGGCUAGUACUAAAGGGAAGAAGAAUUCUAUAAAAUGCAAGAAGGUGCCAGAGGCUGUUUCAAAGGAGAUGCUGGAUUUCAUGAAGGCCUACGCAAAGAAGCAUAAUAUGCCAGGGGAGUCUGAUAAAGAAGAUACAGCAACUGGUGAUGAAGAAGAGGAUGCAACAGCAACUCAAACUAGUAGUAGGACAGCAAAAAGGAAGGCCGAGACUGUCCAAACUGAAUUACCGACACAAAAGGCUUCAAGAACAAUUGCCGGGAUGAUUAGGAAGACUCCGGAAGAAGUCAUUGAGCUAAGGCACUCGAAGAAUCCUUCUCAAGCCGCAUUGAACGCAGGUUGCUUCAAAAGGACCACCGAGGAUAAGGAUAGAGUUGAUGAUCAUUGGGCAGCAUUUUUCUUUGCUAAUGCCAUUCCCUUCAAUGUUACCCGAUCAAGAGCCUUUGAGAUUGCAUUGGAGUCCACCGGGCAAUAUGGUCCAGGCUACAUCCCCCCAACUAUUCAUGCUCUUAGGCUUCCACUUCUUGUGAAAGCAAAGAAGAAGACACAUGCAUUGAGAGAGCAACAUAAGCUGGCAUGGCAAGAGUAUGGCUGCACACUAACGUUCGAUGGGUGGACCGAUGGGAGGACUAGGCACUUGGUCAACUUCCUUGUCAAUAGUCCAGCCGGGACUUUCUUCAUUGAUAGCGUUGACAUAUCAGCCCUAGUAGCCAACAAAGAAUUGUUGGCAGAUUUGAUGGAGAAAAGGAUCAACGACAUUGGAAGAGGCUACGUGGUUCAGAUUUGCAUGGAUAAUGGUGCUAACUACAAGGCAGCGGGUAGACUCUUAACGGAGAGGAUCCCUACAUUAUGGUGGACCCCUUGUGCAGCUCAUUGUUUGAACCUUAUGUUGGAGUCCAUUUGCAAAAUCAAGCAAUUCAGCGAGUGUAUUACAAAUGGAAAAAGGGUGUCUACAUUCAUCUACAGGCAUGGCAAGGUUUUAGAUGAAAUGAGAGUGAAGACCGGCAAUCGUGAUCUUGUGAGGGCUGGAGCUACUCGCUUUGCCACAAAUUUUCUCAACUUGCAAAGCUUGCACAAACAUAGGCAAGCUCUCAAAGAAUUGUUUGUGGGUGAUGUUUGGCAUAGCAAUAAGUUGUCAACCUCACCGGUGGGACAAAAAGUUCAAGAAGAUGUGCUGUCCAUUAGGUUUUGGAACUCGGUAGAGACUUGCAUGAAAGUUUCUCUACCUCUUCUAAGGGUGCUAAGGAUUGUUGAUGGCGAUGAGAAGCCGGCGAUGCCCGAGGUUAUGGCAGCAAUGGAUUAUGCAAAGGAGAGAAUCAAGGCUGCGAUAGAUGACAAACCAACGUUGGUUAAGAAGGUGACAAAAAUAGUAGAGGACAAGUGGGAAUCUCAAAUGGGGGUGAAGUUGUAUGGAGCUGCACUAUUCUUAAACCCAAAUAGGAUCUAUGGUCUGAAAGCUAAGCCCGAGAAAGCACGAUAUUGUCAAAGGCUUAGGCAUAUGUUUAAUGAGGUGCUAUUGCACAUGGAGCCCGAUGAUGAUAAAGCAAGCAUGAUAAGUAGAUUGGCUGAUGACUAUGAAAGAGGUGAAGGUGAAUGCUUCAGCUCUAAGUUGGCAAUCAAUGACCGAACAAAAAAGAGUCCUCUUCUUUGGUGGGGUGCUUAUGGUGGCCUUGCUUAUGAGCUGCAACAUUUAGCAAAGCACAUAGUUAGCCUUUGUGCUUCAGCUUCCGGUUGUGAACGAAAAUGGUCUUGCUUUCAAAAUGUAAGUAGUAAGUACCAACUUGAUGUUCAUUGUACUUCUGUAGUUCUUUGGUGGGGUGCUUAUGGUAGCCUUGCUAAUUGUUUUCUUGUAUGUUGUUUUCAGAUCCAUAGCAAAAAGAGAAAUAGGUUGGAGUUCCAAAGACUUCAUGAUUUGUCAUAUGUUCAAUACAACCGGAAGAAUGCCGAUAGGUUCCAAAAGAUUUGUGAGGAAGGCUCCAAAGGGACUAGGUCUGACCCAUUAGUCCUAGAAGACUUACAAUGGGACAAUGAAUGGGUUGACCAUAAUGCCCAGCCGGUUUAUGAAGGGGCUGAUAUCACUUGGGCUCAAGUUGACGAAGCUGUCGGUGCAUCUGAAGGUCCAUUGCGCAACCUUAGAAGCCGUGGGAGUGGGAGCCAGGCUGCUGUUACCCAUGUCUAUUCUCGAUCUCGAGUGCAAAACCAAGUUGGAGAAGAUGAGGACGAGGAGGAGGAUGCAAAUCAGGAGGUUGAUCUUGAAGAUUAUUCAACAAGUGAAGAUGAUCAAGAGGGAAAUCAAGGUGAAGGUGAAGGUGGAGGUGAAGAGAGAGGCUCCAUUGGCUUUGAUGAUGAUCUGGAUUACUAG